rnacentral:rRNA from 1 species
AACGAACGCUGGCGGCAGGCCUAACACAUGCAAGUCGAGCGCCCCGCAAGGGGAGCGGCGGACGGGUGAGUAACGCGUGGGAACGUACCCUUUGCUACGGAAUAGCCUCGGGAAACUGGGAGUAAUACCGUAUGUGCCCUUCGGGGGAAAGAUUUAUCGGCAAAGGAUCGGCCCGCGUUGGAUUAGGUAGUUGGUGGGGUAAUGGCCUACCAAGCCGACGAUCCAUAGCUGGUUUGAGAGGAUGAUCAGCCACACUGGGACUGAGACACGGCCCAGACUCCUACGGGAGGCAGCAGUGGGGAAUCUUAGACAAUGGGCGCAAGCCUGAUCUAGCCAUGCCGCGUGAGCGAUGAAGGCCUUAGGGUUGUAAAGCUCUUUCACCGGAGAAGAUAAUGACGGUAUCCGGAGAAGAA